rnacentral:rRNA from 1 species
UACGUAGGGGGCUAGCGUUGUCCGGAAUCAUUGGGCGUAAAGCGCGCGUAGGCGGCCCGAUAAGUCCGCUGUAAAAGUCAACGGCUCAACUGUUGAAAGCCGGUGGAUACUGUCGGGCUAGAGUACGGAAGAGGCAAGUGGAAUUCCUGGUGUAGCGGUGAAAUGCAUAGAUAGCAUCCAGAACCCGAUGCGAAGCAGCUGCCUAGACUGUAACUGACGCUGAGGCACGAAAGCGUGGGGAGCGAACAGG